rnacentral:tRNA from 1 species
ACUUAAAUAGCUUAUAUAGAGUAUAAUAUUGAAGAUAUUAGGGAAACAUUAUUGUUUUUAAGUA